ensembl:lncRNA
AGAGAAAACGCAUGGUUUUCUGGUUAAAUGGGGCAUUUCUGAAGAGAAAACUCGUGUUUUUUUGUGUUAAUUGGGGGAUUUGCAAAGAGAAAAUGCAUGAUUUUCGCUUAAAUGUUGGAUUCUCUGAGAGAAAACGCGUGAUUUUCGCUUAAAUGGGGGAUUUCCGAAGAGAAAACGCAUGAUUUUCUGGUUAAAUGGGGGAUUUGAGAAAACGCGUGAUUUUCGUUAAAUGUUGGAUUCUCGAAGAGAAAACGUGUGAUUUUCGCUUAAAUGGGGGAUUUGAGAAAAGAAAACGCGUGAUUUUCAGGUUAAAUGGAAGAUUCCUGAAGAGAAAACGCGUGAUUUUUGCUUUAAUGGCGGAUUUGUGAAGAGAAAACGUGUGUUUUUCG